UACUGAGAGCAGAUUCACGUGCUGGGUGUCAGCGAAUGGGAGCCCAGCUGGCUGAGCGCAAAGCUUUUUUCUUCUUCCGGGGUUUUCAGUGGUUAGUGAGACGUUGUUUGUGAGGGAAGGUUUCUUUACUGAUGCACACGGGGAAUUCUCCCAGACCACUUUCAACUCUUUGUGAAGCAAAACUGUUGGAGUGGAUGUUUUCGUUCAUCGCGGAACAUCGAUAAAUGCUUCCGUGAGCCUUAGAAGGGAAAAAAAAUUUCAAGGGAGAGCUGAAGUGCAGUUGUGGUGAGCCGAGCUAAAGUUCAAAUGGUCCUGGAGAGUCCGAAUUGUUGCUUCCGCCGUCCUGGUUGGACCUGCCUUUGGCUAGUAUACCGAGCGAUUUUCCCCCCUUUGCACUUUUCCUGCAUUUUUUUUCUUACAAAUUCUCAGUGCACCGACAAAGGACAUUGAAGGAGAGACUGUAUAUAUUUAAUAUUUAUGUUUGGUAAUUGUUCUUUAUUCAGUGGUUCAGUGUUUGUUUUGAACUGAGCUCAUUUAAGAGGUAAUUUAGUAUAUUCAUUCAGGUCAAAGGGGAACAUCCAUAUUUUUUUU